GAAGGAGACAUGACCUCCAACAUGAGUGUGUCUGGAAAACAGGACUUAAAGAAAGACGAGAGAAUGAUGGAGGGAAAGAGAUCAGACUCACCAGAACCCAGCUGUGUGUCCAUGAAGAGUGACCGGUCAAUGGGACGUCCAGAUACCUUCAGAGACAGAGACAGUUCUACUGAUGUGAGACCACAAAAGAAGAAAUCACAGAAAUCAAACAUCAGCAAAAAUGAUCUGGACUCCAUGU